UACGGAGGGUGCAAGCGUUAUCCGGAUUCACUGGGUUUAAAGGGUGUGUAGGCGGGCUGUUAAGUCAGUGGUGAAAUCUCCGGGCUCAACCCGGAAACUGCCAUUGAUACUAUCAGUCUUGAAUUUUGUUGAGGUAGGCGGAAUAUGUCAUGUAGCGGUGAAAUGCUUAGAUAUGACAUAGAACACCGAUUGCGAAGGCAGCUUACUAAGCAAAUAUUGACGCUGAGGCACGAAAGCGUGGGGAUCAAAC
rnacentral:rRNA from 1 species